UCAGUCGACUCCUACGGGGAGGCAGCAGUGGGGAAUAUUGCACAAUGGGGGAAACCCUGAUGCAGCCAUGCCGCGUGUGUGAAGAAGGCCUUCGGGUUGUAAAGCACUUUCAGUAGGGAGGAAGGUAGUGCAGUUAACACCUGCAUUAUUUGACGUUACCUACAGAAGAAGCACCGGCUAACUCCGUGCCAGCAGCCGCGGUAAUACGGAGGGUGCGAGCGUUAAUCGGAAUUACUGGGCGUAAAGCGCAUGCAGGCGGCCUGUUAAGUCAGAUGUGAAAGCCCGGGGCUUAACCUCGGAAUUGCAUUUGAAACUGGCAGGCUAGAGUCUUGUAGAGGGGGGUAGGAAUUUCAGGUGUAGCGGUGAAAUGCGUAGAGAUCUGAAGGAAUACCAGUGGCGAAGGCGGCCCCCUCGGACAAAGACUGACGCUCAGAUGCGAAAGCGUGGGGAGCAAACAGGAUUAGAUACCCUGGUAG
rnacentral:rRNA from 1 species